GAUUUCAGAUUAAUCAUGUAGAGAAAUACAGGAAAUAAAAGGAACACAGAAUUUCAAUAACAAAAUUGAUCAAUUGAUUCAAAGAGAUCACUUUCCAAAGGUUUUUGGUGGUUUUUCUAAGAACAAAGAUAAUCCCUUCUUGGUGGCUUACAGAGUAUUAAAACAUAGGUUUUCAGAAUAAAAAGCGUGCAUAAUAAAAUGACAAAAAGGCCCUUGAGAAAACAUGAAUUCGAGCAUAUAGGCGACGCGCAGCGACCUCGGCAAGUCGCUCCAGCACGUCGCUCUGGGCUUCGGGAGCGACCUCAGGGUGUCGCUGCGAGAGGUCGCUCCGGCUUCAGUUUUGAGCUCUGUUUCGUCAAAAGAGCGAGCGACUUCAGGACGUCGCUCCAACGUGGUCGCUCCGAGAGGUAAGGCACAGCGACUUCAUCGUGUCGCUGCGGUUAGGUCGCUCCGGUGGGUUGCUCGUCCGCUGAUCACUUUAAACACUUCUUUUGAGCUCCAAAUGCACCCAAACGUCUCCAAGAACUCCAUGUGAUACUCCAAUACCUGAUAAGGACUCAUGUAUGCAAAAUGCAACCUAAACAUGACUAAAUCCUAAUCUAUAUGAUCAAAAUGCAUAUGGAUGGAUGGAUAAAACAAUGGAAAUAUGCAUGAUAU